rnacentral:rRNA from 1 species
UACGUAGGGGGCAAGCGUUGUCCGGAUUUAUUGGGCGUAAAGAGCGUGUAGGCGGCUUCACAGGUCCGCUGUGAAAACUCGAGGCUCAACCUCGAGCUGUCGGUGGAAACCGUGUGGCUAGAGUCCGGAAGAGGAGAGUGGAAUUCCCGGUGUAGCGGUGAAAUGCGCAGAUAUCGGGAAGAACACCCGUGGCGAAGGCGGCUCUCUGGGACGGUACUGACGCUGAGACGCGAAAAGCGUGGGGGAGCGAACAGG